AAAGUACAUAUGAAUGAUUAUGGUUCUGUUGACAUCCAUGAAGAAGUAACUGCAGUUGCAUGUGGUUGAGACUGACGUUGCUCAAUAAUCCUUCACAGCAAGCCACAAGCACGGCAAAUUUCUUUCAGAAGAGCUCAUGUUGCAGGACAAUCAUUUUCAGCUGGGGAAAAGAAAAAGGAGCCGACUGAGAAAGAAAUGGGCAGACAACAUUGCAGAGUCGAUCAGAGGGAGCAAUGCUCCAACCCAGGCACUCACCCACAACCGUGAGGGAUGGAGGCAACUGGUGCAGUGCUCAUCCAUACAGCACCACUACGACCCAGGAAGAUGCUGCUCGACCUGCUGAUUUCCUUCAGCAAAUUGUUUGUCACUCCAGGUUCUAGCUUCUGCAGUCCCUGUGUCUCCAAACCAG